GGGUUGUGAGGUUAAGCGACUAAGCGUACACGGUGGAUGCCCUGGCAGUCAGAGGCGAUGAAGGACGUGCUAAUCUGCGAAAAGCGUCGGUAAGGUGAUAUGAACCGUUAUAACCGGCGAUGUCCGAAUGGGGAAACCCAGUGUGAUUCGUCACACUAUCGUUAACUGAAUACAUAGGUUAACGAGGCGAACCGGGGGAACUGAAACAUCUAAGUACCCCGAGGAAAAGAAAUCAACCGAGAUUCCCCCAGUAGCGGCGAGCGAACGGGGAGCAGCCCAGAGUCUGAAUCAGCUUGUGUGUUAGUGGAACGGUCUGGAAAGUCCGACGGUACAGGGUGAUAGUCCCGUACACCAAAAUGCACAGGCUGUGAACUCGAAGAGUAGGGCGGGACACGUGGUAUCCUGUCUGAAUAUGGGGGGACCAUCCUCCAAGGCUAAAUACUCCUGACUGACCGAUAGUGAACCAGUACCGUGAGGGAAAGGCGAAAAGAAC
rnacentral:rRNA from 1 species